GACGAACGCUGGCGGCGUGCCUAAUACAUGCAAGUUGAGCGAAGAAGGUUGGUACUUGUACCAACUGGGUGAGCAGCGAACGGGUGAGUAACGCGUGGGUAAUCUGCCUUUGAGCGGGGGACAACAUUUGGAAACGGAUGCUAAUACCGCAUAAAAACUUUAAACACAAGGUUUAAGAGUGAAAGAUGCAAUUGCAUCACCCAAAGAUGAUCCCGCGUUGUAUUUGCUUGUUGGUGAGGUAAAGGCUCACCAAGGCGAUGAUACAUAGCCGACCUGAGAGGGUGGUCAGCCCACUUUGGAAUGGGGACCCGCUCCAGCUCCCUCCGGAAGCAGCAGUUGGGAAUCCUUCGCCAUUGACGAAAGUCUGACCGGGCAACGCCGCGUGAGUGGAGAAGGUUUUCGGAUCCUAAAACUCUGUUUGUAGAGAAGAACGUAAGUGGGAGUUGAAAGCUCAUCAAGUGACGGUAACUACCCAGAAAGGGACGGCUAACUACGUG
rnacentral:rRNA from 1 species